UUGCUACUAUCAUCAGCUGCUGCCAAUGAAGCAAACCUUUUUUUGCAAUGGGCUCAAGACUAAUGGAUUACAGAAAACCACUUGUUGGGUAUACAGCCUCAUGCCUCUUUCCAGUGAGUCUGGCCUACUGUGGUAGAUAUCUCCGUUCCAAGACAAGAUAAGGAUAUAGGGAAAGAUUUUUGGUAAAUGAAACCAAUUAUUUAGCCUUAAUGAUAGCAUUGAUCAAACUGAGCAAUAAGGCCACUCAAUUUGAGGAGGAUAGAACACAAUUUGAUGCUCUAUACCACAUCAGCUUUAUAACCUGACAAAUUCCUUCUGCUAUGGGAUGUGACUUUCUAGGAAUGAGCCUUCCUAGCGAUGUGGGACUAAGCUUCUGAACAUAAAAG
rnacentral:lncRNA from 1 species